rnacentral:rRNA from 1 species
AUGUACGAGAUCGCCGACACCGAGAUACGGGAUCGCCGCCAACGUACGAUUUGCCGUCUCUCGCUGCCGCCGUUGUACGAUCUGCCGUCUCUCCCAGAGGAGGCGCCGCCGCGGACGUCCGGGAUCACCGCUGCCUACGUCCGGGAUCACCGCCGCCGACCUGCCAGAGGAGACGCCGCCUCCAAUCUCCUAGAGGAGCCGCCGCCGCCGCCACUCUCCGACGGGAGACGCCGCCGCCACCUGCACUGA